UGUGUGUUCAUCUGCUGACAAGAUACUUUUGGCCCUCGCUUGAGAAUUACUGGUUGAGUGAACGAAUGGUAUCUCAGAAUCAAAAACCGUCAGAAGGAAAGGACGAAGCUCUCAGGGAGAAACCAAAGCUGAGUUUUCAUCCUGAAGGUCUCAUCUCAGCCAACCCCAUACACAGCCUGCGUUCUGGGAUGAUCUCUCCAGGCUGAUGCCUCUGCCCAAGGGAACAGAACAAGCCACGGGAGCUGUGGGACCAACCAGGCCUGUGAGGCCCGACAAGGCAAGAACGCGGUGGAGACAAGGAGACCAGCGGAUCAGGAGGGGGAGAUCCAGGUCAGAUCUUCCAGAAGAAACUCAAGGGAUCUCCCAAGAAGAAGUGAGACCCAGGAUGGCGGAGGUCAGCUCCAACCUCAGACCUCCUCCCUCCUCCUGACCGCUCCGAAUCAGCCAGAUUUGAACUUUCUAGAUUCGGUCCUGCACACCACGUCUUUGAGUGU